UAAAAGCUACUUGGCAUAACUUCUACAAGAGAAGCUAUUGGAGGUGAAUUCCUUUGGGAUACAGGUCAUGGAUCAUCUAGUAAGGCAAAUGUUAAUGCCUGAAAAUAGAAAAUUAUAUAUUCAGGUCCCUUGUUUCAGUUUUGUCAACUUGCACAUCAGUUUGCAUUUGUUUAAUUGCUUCUUACUAGAAGUCAAGAGAGGUUCUUGUAAGACACAGAUGUUAAUACUAGAACAGGUUUUAUUCCCCUGGAACCUGCCUGUAUUGAAUUAAAUUGUUAUAUGCCAACUACGUGAUCUUUUCAGCCUCUCUUCCCUCAGACACCAUUUUUUUUGCCAGCAGGAACUGCUCAUUACUCAAGUUUUGUGACCUGAAAACUUGAUUCUGCCAGCAUUGCAAUUCAUGACAACCACAGAAGAUCAGAUUACACUUUUCAGUGCGAUCAGUUUUAUGGGUUUACUCCAGAGUAUGUUGUAUUACUGUGAAGGAUGUAGAAAUUUCAGCGAAUUUGCUCUUACAACCUUUGUUUUUUCCUUUGCCCAUCUUUAUGCUUUUGUUUUAAUUUGCUAAUAUUAGUGGUGUAACAUGGGAACUGUGUACAAUAGUAGUUGUUAGUUCUUCGCUUUUUUAUUUUGCUUUAUAUGCUUCUAAGAGACCACGUACCACAGGUAGUCUUUUCUAGAAGCAAUGUAUGUGUAUAGAAGUUUUAACAUAUUUUGAAAGGUACUAAAAUAUUUAUAACUAAAAAAGAAUUGAAGACUAUAUAUUUUUAUUUAUUUGCACACAAGCAUUACUUAUAUAAAUCCUGAUUCUAGAUUACUCAUUUACUUUUUUUUGUCUUUUAGAAUAAACUCUCUGCCUGGAGAAACAAACCAGAUGUUUUGAAUAUGUGUAAUAACUUGGAAAAUAAUCCCCAAAUGAAGUACAAAGAGUUUAUGUAUUUGAAGUGUUAGCUUAUUGCAUUCUGUAAAACGGGUUUCUAGAAUAAAGCUUUCAGCAUAGGCAUUCAGGUUAUAGCAGAGCCUUUGAGAAACAUUGUGAUCCAAAGGCUAAGUGAGUACAAAUCAUGCAGAUCUUGUAAUUGAAGUAUAAUGGAAUAUCUACAGAUAAAUCUGUCUACAAGGAAAAUCUUUUAUGCACUUUAAAAUGUUUUGGUAACAUGGAUAAUGCUCAUGGAAGAGAGGCUGGUAGUAAAAGCAUCCUAGUGAUUCAGUUGCUGAAUAAUCUAGUGACUGACUUGCUAAGAACAAAAAUGUUAAUAUGGAACGCAAGUUCUCAAAAUCAAUUUAAGAUUAAAUUAUAUGCAUUGCAGCAAGCACUAAUAAUAGUGGAGACCAAAAUGUCAGGAUUUGAUUAAAUGCUUUGUAAUAGUAUUUUUUAAAAGUAAAAUGUCACUUACCAAUCAGUUAUGAUGAUUAAAAAAUAGCAUGUCGUUUGACAACUGCAAAGCACAUUGUGCAUUUUAAAUAAAAUGACAUUCCACACUUUAAUUUUUAGAGAAGAGGCUUCAUGUACUCUGUUUAAUGGAUUACUUUUUACAUGGCUGAGAGUGAAUGGUUGGCUUCUCACCUUUAUUCAUAAUUCCUAAUCCUAUGCCUUUCUCAGCAGUUGUUUUAUGGGAUAUAAUAUAGUAUAUUAAUGGUAAUACUUAUCUCAUUUCCUUGUACUAAGUCUUAGUUAGAGCUGUAAUAUUAGCAUAAGCUUGAUCAUUAGAGAUGUGUUAACAAAAGUAUUAUUUUGUAGGUAAUCUGCAAAUAUAUUAUAAUAUGCUCAAUGUUCUGAAUAACUAAGGGACAUUUUAGCACAUUCUAAAUAAUUUAUGUUUUGUGUCCCCCACCCCCAGUCAGCUUUUCUGCAUUUUGCUGAUGACAUACUCCUUGAAAAGCACUGAAACCUAUGAUGAUAAAGUCUUACUUUUAAUCUCCCUCCACAUCUUCUCCCCAAUCAUAAUGCAGAUGAAAUUUUAAUAUUGUAAACUAUGUUGCACUAUAGAAAUAUUGAGAAUCCUUCCAAAAAUAUUAGAAACCUGGAAAGGGACAGGCAAGAAUUGAAAUGUUUUCUGUCUGUCUCUUUAGUAGUGGAUGUGACUUCACAAAUUAACAUGUACACUGGACCAUCAUGUAGAGGAGCAAGUCUUCAUGAUAUACCACAAAACUAGUAAACUUUUUGAAAGUAUGGAAAUAGUUCCUUAUGUUAAGUUAUGUUAAGUUCCUCUUAAAAUAUAUAUUCUACUUGAGUCUGUGUAAAAAUGGUGCUUUCUUAUCAGACCUCCUGGUGGUAUGAAAUGUGAUUAUCUGCUAAUUUUAGGAACAGAGUUUUUUGCUGCUUUUUAUUCAUGUUAGUACAGUAAAGCCAAUGCAUCUGUGAAGAAGAGUUGGCUUCCUUUGCUUCUAUUAUGAAAGGAUAUAUUAAGUUAAAUCGGUAGCAUCCCCGCAAGUGUCCAAGAAGCAGUUUGGUGGUACUGUCGUAACUGGGCGACCUAACUGAAUAUGCAGAAUCCCUUUCACUGAUGACGAUGCUGAUGCAUGGGGUCUCUCCCUUUUGGGAUAUGAUUCUUGGAGUUCAUCAUGGUUUAGCAUGUUGGACAAAACACAUUUGAUAUUAGGCCGGAUUUAUACAGAACAGACAAUAUACCUUGCCCCAGGGGAUCUGGGGGU